rnacentral:tRNA from 1 species
GUCUCGGAUAGCUUUAACUUGGUAGAGCCGCCUUUGGCGCGUAACCAAAAUGAUCCAGGUUCGAGUCCCGGUCUGGGCU